rnacentral:rRNA from 1 species
UACGAAGGGGGCUAGCGUUGCUCGGAAUCACUGGGCGUAAGCGCACGUAGGCGGCUUCUUAAGUCAGGGGUGAAAAUCCUGGAGGCUCAACUCCAGAACUGCCCUUUGAUACUGAGGAUCUUGAGUCCGGGAGAGGUGAGUGGAACUGCGAGUGUAGAGGUGAAAUUCGUAGAUAUUCGCAAGAACACCAGUGGCGAAGGCGGCUCACUGGCCCGGUACUGACGCUGAGGUGCGAAAGCGUGGGGAGCAAACAGG